rnacentral:tRNA from 1 species
ACCCAACUGGCUCAGUCAGUAGAGCAUGAGACUCUUGAUCUUGGGGUCUUGAGUACAAAUCCCACAUUGGGCA